CCUGAGUCCUGAAGGAUGAGUAGGAAUGAGCAAGCCUGGCAGGAAGGCAGCCUAGGCCUCGGCAUGAAUCAGAUUCAGAGGCAGUACCAGCAUCCUGGUGUUUGUGGGAAGCCGAUCCUGCACAAACAGAGCCUCAGGCAGGUAAGGGUAUGAGGCUGGAGUUUGGUCCACGGAGGUCGAGGCCGCAGACACAGAUCUGAAGGUCAUCUCCUACCGGGAAGGCUAACCCCAGGGGAGAGAAGGUUCUCCUGAAAGCACAUCCUUCAUAAACUACCCUCCACCCCAAUCAUCUCAGAGAGUCUAGAGGACCUGAAUGAAUUAGCAUCCAAGGGGCAUGCCUUACUCAGGACCACUGGCAAGUCCAGGCUCAUGUGGAAGUGACUCUGUGGCAGACACUAUUGGUGAGCCCUCAUGUCUGCUCAGAACCCACCUUUCCCCAGGGGAGGCUCCUUCUGAACUUCUCCGGCUCUGCCUGCAUGCGGGAAAGCUGGAAGACCCCAAAAGUGGCUCCCAUCAAAGAAAGAAGUGGGAAGGGGGGCUAAGCACCCCAACACCUUGCAUCCCAGGCAGGAAAACUCAGAAGCUCAUGUUCCAUCCUGCCUUCCAACUUCCUCAGAAACCCUGAGCUCUGUUGCCAUAGUGGUAACUUUCUUGACAGUUUGCUGGAUUUGUUCCCCCCUUUAUCCUCCUGCAACCUCCUCUGCUAGUGUCUCCUGGAAUCAUCUUCAGAGCAAAUCGCUGGCGCUCAAAUCUGGUCUCAGGGUCAGUUUCUAGGGGAGCCAAACAAAGACAAGGCCCUGCUCUGAUUUAGACAACAGUUUCCCUUCCAAGCACCUGUUCAGAGGAGAUCUCCCUUCCUGAUGAGCAAAGCCUUGGUCAUCUGAGGUGUUAGUCUGUACCAAUAUUCCUCAAACUUAAUCUAGGCACAGGAUGGUUUCUCUUGCCAUGAGGCACAGAGUGUGGAGCUGAGGAAGGGGACCAUCUACAAAAGAGUGACAUAUGGAAAUGCCAAAUCAAAUUGAGGUGCACAUAGUAACUACAGCAUUAACACCUACUGGGGAUAAAGAAGGAUGCAUCACUGACACCUCAAACUCAAAUGCCCUACAGGUAGUAAUUCUAUAAAUAUUUCACGCAUACCUUCCAUACGUCAGGGGUGGCACUAGCUACAUUGUCAUAUACGACAUUCCUUCUGUAUGGAACUUCCUACUAUCAUCUUUUUUUAAUGUAAUAUCAUAUAUAUAUUUUAAAUAGUAAAAAAAAAAAAGAAAAGACACUCUUUACACCCUUUCAAUGAAAUACAGGUAAUAAACUAAGAGAGAGCUCUUCCUUGGAUAAGGUG
rnacentral:lncRNA from 12 species